AUGGGAUUCUCAGUGGUGGAAUUUUCCACUCAUUUAUUCUUUCAUUUUCCAUCUCCCUUUGCCUUCAAGUGUCAGUUGGCUCCUCUCGGUCACAGCUGUACAAAUCACAGGACUUUUUUUUUCCUUGGCAAACGACAUAUAUAUUAUUCAUCUAUUGAGGGUUCUCUGAAGGAAAUCCAACACAGACACAGUUGCAUUUUCCAAACAGAAAUAUUUAAAGCUGCUUUUUCCUCACAAGAAUCCAGAGAGAAGACUCUAUCUAUGAUCUAUGCAAGUUUUCUCCAUUGACAGAGAAAAGAAGUGCAAAGCCACCAACAACUCCAGGGACAACCACCUUUGGAAAUGUGGGCUUUGAUCACAUGAAGUACAGAACCAAGAUAAGCAACAAUAAAUCUGUGGGGUCACGUCUGUGCA
rnacentral:lncRNA from 1 species